GCAGGUUGAAAAGCCUUCGAGCGAAUAUACUGAUCUCUUUGAAGUGUUUCUUUUUCGCGUAAUUCGGGCCAAAACUCGGACUGGUGAUAGAAUACUGACAAGACACUGGAGCCCAAAAUACAGUAUAUCAUGUACAAACGGAGAGUCUCAUAUCUUGUAGCAAAGUCUGCCAAAAAACUGUCAAUAGGUUGUCUUCGCACUGGUUGUCCCAAGUUGUCAACAAGUAUGGAACAACUUGUAACAACCUUGUUGAUAUUAUCAGACUUGUUGCAAG